GGCAGCGUGGUGUAGUAGUUUGAGCAUUAGAUUACAACUCUGGAGACCAGGGUUCGAUUCCCAGCUUGGCCA